rnacentral:tRNA from 1 species
UGGUGCCCAUGGGGAGACUCGAACUCCCACGACCGCAAGGUCAGCGGAUUUUAAGUCCGCAGCGUCUACCAUUCCGCCACAUGGAC